rnacentral:rRNA from 1 species
UACGAAGGGGGCUAGCGUUGCUCGGAAUCACUGGGCGUAAAGGGUGCGUAGGCGGGUCUUUAAGUCAGGGGUGAAAUCCUGGAGCUCAACUCCAGAACUGCCUUUGAUACUGAGGAUCUUGAGUACGGGAGAGGUGAGUGGAACUGCGAGUGUAGAGGUGAAAUUCGUAGAUAUUCGCAAGAACACCAGUGGCGAAGGCGGCUCACUGGCCCGUAACUGACGCUGAGGCGCGAAAGCUAGGGGAGCAAACGGGG